GCGGGGCUGUGGGGUUCGUUAGGAAACAUUUCCCCGGGGCCUUAUCGAUCCUUAAGGGAGCUGUACCUGCCCUCGUCCGUGGACUUGGGCACACGGCGCCCACCUACGCUGUAGGUUUCCCGGGAUCGAGUUCCGACGGCUUUUGCGGCUCCGCA
rnacentral:other from 1 species